GCAAGCCCCAUGAGAACACCUGAUAGGGUCCAGCUCAUUACAACCUUCAUCUCCAAUGGAGACAAAUAAUAGCUCAACCAAGCAAAUAAUGUGAGCACUGGUCUGGCGCGUAUCAUUACAUUAUCUUUAAGAAUUAUUUGUGGGAAUAUUUUCCCUUCUUUUCAUCAUGGAUAAUAGUAGCUCCAGGAGGAAGACUCGAGGUCGAGGUCCCACAUGUUGCCAACAGCUGUUGAGUGAAAAGUGCGUAUCAAUCACCACCAAUGCACUGGGGCAGCCCAUUGGACGUGAGGCACCAAAAUUGACCAGCUUCCUUGGUAUUCUAGCACGGAUUGGGCACUUUCUACCUCUAACUUAUGUUGACUGGAGGACAGUGCCCAAUCUAAGGAAAGCUUGUGGCAGAAAGUUCAGAUAUUUGAUAGCAUUCCUCCUGCUUCUGCAUGAUUUAUGUGUAUUUAUUUCAUUGCAUUGGGUAUCAAAACUAUGCAGUCGAGGUUUGAUAUUGACCGUGAGUCAAGGUCCUGCAAUCUCUUGGGAGAAAAUGGAAGGACUGAAAAUCCAAGUUGAAGACUUCACAUCACUACCUUCACGAAACUGAUGAGGAGCGGUUGGCUGAUCGUGAUGAGAGGGUCCUUCCAGAUCAGUGGGCAUCUCUUAUUGCACAUUGGAGUUCUGAAACAAAAGAGAAACUAGUUCUGUUUUCUUUACAUGAAGAUUGGCCUGUACGUUGUGCACAUGAUAGAAACACAGUGCCACGAAUAAGGCUAAUCGUGCGCAUGUGAAGUAUAGUCAUGCAACAGGCACGAAGAGCUUGGAACGAAUAAGUGACGAUUGACGAGCAGCGAGCAAAGAGGUCUGAUGGGAUGGAACUAUCCGGAGCAGAGCUAUUCAUAUUAACAGUUACACGCAGGAACGGGCAGCCUGUUAACAAGGAAACAGCAGUUAUUGUAUGUUUUGGAAUGUGAACAUGCUUUCAUUAAUUUAUAUAACAAUAUAGAUUAGUAGAUACCAGAGUUAUGUAGGUUACCAAACACUGAAAUAAUGUGCAAACACAACUUCAAGACCUUAAAAACAACAUGAUACCUCAGAACAACACUAACCAGGAUGAUAUCUUUUCCUGAGUCCUGGGUAAAGAUAAACAUGGCCGUGUUCAUUGUAAUGUUCUGAACUGGGGUGCUGAAGCCAACUCAUAAAGAAGCCUUAAAAAUGGGGAGUGAGGUAAAUGUAGAAAUAUGUGAGAUGGAGGAGAAAAUGGCUGCAAUGGAGCAGACCUAUGCACUGAUGGCAAAUCAGAUGAGUGAUAUGAUGUCUUGCAUGAGGAAUUGCCUGAUGAGAAUGCGAGCGAUAUGGUAGGUUCAAAUCAAGGCUUUCAGGACACUGUCUCACCACUCCAUUUUUAUCAAGUUUUGCAUGACAAGAAGUCGUACUUCAGAAACAGCAAAAAGUAAUGUACAAGCUUACACCCCUCUUACAUGAGAGGGCCCCAUGUUGAUCGUGAGCACCCCUCAUGUGAGGAGGGUGUAUAUUUUGUUGAACACGAGUGUACAGCAAGCACCUCUCUUCUCAAUUUGACUUGUGAGAUGCAGACGCAAUUUAUAACUAGGUAGUAUAUACAGCAAUUGAAAUGCCAAUCAUGCAUUAAUCGCUAAUGUGUUUUCCUCUCAACAAAUAGCACAUCCCCUUUCCCUGCCAAUGAUGAUGCACGCUAAACUCAACUAGCCUGCUCAUUGACGUUAUAGUUUGGCAUAAAUUAAUAAUAAUAGAAAAAAGAACAAGUAAUUUGAGAUGUAGAUUUCUUUGAACGUGUUGAAAUGGACAUGUAGAGGUGCCUUGCUGCACAGCACAGCCAUUCCUCUUCCUCUCUCCAGGCUUCCUUCACCUGGACAUUCAAUGGCAAUGCAAUUCAAUUUGCCAAUUGCCUUUCUGUGUUGCACCCAUUCUUGCAAUUUCAGCAUCAGUUAAGAUGUAAUAAUUAUUCUGCUGAUGCUGGAUUGGUUGAUGUGUUUUUCUAGAUGCCAGUUUCAUCUAAUGACCCAUGGAUGUAUGCCUAACAUAUUUUAUAUUUUGUUUGUGGAAGCACUUAUGUCCUAUUAUGGGGAUAAAUGUUUUCAUGUCAAUACUGCGCUUGCUUUAUGGGCAAUC